GGUGGCUCAGUGGUAGAGCGCUUGCCUUGAAGGCAUGAGGCCCUGGGUUCAAUUCCUCAGCACCA
rfam:Dipodomys ordii contig_7524, whole genome shotgun sequence.